CGUUCAUGCUCUGUCUCUUUCUGUCCCAAAAAUAAAUAAAAACGUUGAAAAAAAAAUUAAAAAAAAAAAAAGGAGCUGGAAGGGUAGCACCCCAAAACAUGAUGGCCUCAGGCAGGGGUGGGGAUCCUUGAGAUUCCUCAGACCAAACCACACUGGCCUAGCUUCGGUGAGUUUCUUCUUUUGGAUCACAAAACGGUCAGGGACCUGGCCCGACAGUGCCCCAUGGGAUAAUGCCACUCCGGGCCAUCACAGAGGUAGCGUGGAAUACCUCAGGACGCCUGUCUGAACGACUGGGUCUGCUCAGAGAGAGGGAGCUGGAGACCGAGGACGGUGUCGUGUGAGUGGGAAUGAGAAGGGAAAGGGGUGAGCAAGUACUUAGCAAGGGCUCACCUGCCAUCGGGCUGUCAAUUAGCAGCUUCCCAUGCUCCCGGCCAGCUGUCCAAGCUCCUACGGGGCAGGGACGCGAAGGUCCUGUCUGACAUCUGGCCCCCCACCCCUUCCCCGAUUCCCCCCUCCCCGGGACCCCACCCACCCCUGCACUUGCAUAGCCUGAAUCCGUCUCUUGGUCUGACACUGCAUAGCAUCCUGUCUCCCACUCUGGACCUCUCUUCUUCCAGAAGCCUCCCCCGCCGCCCUCAAUUCGUCUUUGAGGACCGGAGUGGGGGGGGGGGCAGGACUCAGCCCUUUCUUUCUGCCCAUCCCAAAGCCUGUUGGAUUCUUGUUCAGACUUUUCCUUCUCAUCUCCUUCUUGGGCAUCUGCGUGGCUCAGGGUAGAACUCCUGCUGCCCCUGCAGAAGGCCCUUCCAGAAAAGCCCGUUAGGGGAAAUACAGAAAAACACUUAACAGUAGGGGACUGGGCAACGGGAUUGUAAGUGUGGGUUCUACAUUUUACAUUUCUCCCCCUACCCUUUGGCUAGUUUCUCAACUUUAAGAAAUGUGUAUUGGAAAAAUUGACAAGACUCCAAGAAAGUCACUAUUCUCAACACGUUUAGCCCCCCUCUUGAGAUCUGACAGUGAUGCUCUGAUGCCCACUUAACACACAGUUCUUGAGAACUGUGUGACCACUGGGCACCCAGUAGGGCCACACAGCAGGUCCGCCUGAUGCUUGGCGGGGGCGACGCUGUCGGGGUGUGAGUUGGGGGGGGGAGCUGGUGGAGGACUCCCCCGUGGGAAGAAAAGCUCUCUACCCGCUAGCUGGGGUGAUGCCGGGACCUGUCACCGGGCCCAGCCAGGCUGGGCCAUAGCUGCCUGUGAAAACAGCUGUGGAACUAUUGGAAAUACUCGGCAGGGCUGACUUCCCCCAAGGGACGAUGCUGCUUCGCGGAGGGGGCACGAAAGCCGGCAACCUCCGUCAUUACGGACACAAGCCCGUGUUAACUCGCAGACACAGGGCACACAGGCCACUGGGCUGCGUCUUAGUGGGCGGUCUGCACACCUGCCUUCCCCAGAGUACCUCUUUGGGGUUGGGGACGUGGCGGAUCCUGCCCUGUCUCCCCACUGCGCCUUGUUCCUGGCCCGGCCCUCGCAGGGUUCAUUACAGCUGUGUAGUCAGGAAGGUAGGGAAGAAGACAGCCUUUCCAAAGGUCAAGUGCCAAUGGAGGGACUGGGAACGAGGAGCGCCAGGGCCUUUGAGCCAUUAGCGAGGGAGGGUAGAAUCCAAAAUGGCAGCCGAGGGCACAAAGGACGAGCCAUGGGGCCACCAUUAGGGAUCAUGUGGACUCGGGGCUGGGAAGCUGCUUGCUGGACAAAAGGAGAAAACCUGUGCUUCCCAGGAGGAGGCAGCCCCCCAUCUAGGAAGACCUUGCCUAGGUCAGGAUUCAAACUCAGGUCCCUCUGUGUGCAAAGCCUGCAGGUCUCAUCCUUCCUAUGUCCGUUUCCAGCUCGCACAAGUUAGCUCCCGAUCCCCAUCCGCUUUGCCUUGGCCUUGGGGAUUUCUCCAGUGGCCGCCCCCUGUCACCUCCCCUUUCCCUGCCUGGUCCAUAUCUUCAUCGCUUCCUAGUAUUCCCAGUUGCCCACUCUUCGACCCUGCAGGGGACGCGAGACCCUUCUCCUCCUGUGCCCAUUAAUAAAACCCCACCGUGCAGCCUCAACUCCUGGACAGUUUGCCCUGGAGUCUGGAACAGAUUUUCCUGCAAGGAAAUCUCACAGCCAGUGGGGGGCGAGGGGGGAAGUGCUCUGAACUUUGAGUGUGUGUUCUCUCAAAUGUUUCCCAUUUUGAGAGUACAGAAAAGAGCAAAAUAGGUUGAGGAGCCAACAUUUGUGCUACCAAAACAUGUCAUAUCAACAACGGCAACCUCUUCCCCAGAGAAAAUUAGGCUGUAUGUCAUGUGCAUGUGGCUUUUUUUUCUUUUCUUUUUCUUUCUUUCUUUUUUUUUUUUUUUUUCUUUUUUCUGGGGGUGGAGGUGUUGCAUUUUAAUGCCUGAUUUUGGCACUUGGUGCAGAAAAAUAAUGGAGAUGCCAAUGGCCAAAUUUUCCUCCAUCCAAUCUCAGGGAGAAGAGAAAAAAAAAAAAAAACAACCUCGUUUAUGUUUAAAUUUCUUGCAGCUGAGUUAUAUACACAGUACAUGAGGGCAACUGUUCAAAAUGUACACAUUUAUAGCUCCACUGUAUUUUUUUUUUUUUUUUACCCUUUGCAACAGAGAGCUGAGACAUAAAUACCACCCCCGUCCGACUGCACGCAAGGUAUGCAUGUAUGUGACGAAAAUAAAUCCUCCGGGAUUUCUAACUGCCAGGCUUUUGUGCUCGACACAUGUCAGUGCAGAUUACCAACAGGUGCGGCUCGGGGGAAGGACAGGGCAAAAGACAGGCAGGAUGACUGGGGGGAAGCCGGUGGCCAGCCACACGGCGGAGGGGGCGGGGCACGCCGCCUCGCUCUCCCACAACCUGGCUGGCCCCCCUCCUAGACCAAGUAGGAGGCAUGAUCACGGGUGCCGUGGCCAAAACGUAAGGUUCCGGGCAAUGCUACAGCUCCGACACUGGCCUGUGUGGGAGAGGAGAGACGACAUAAAUGUCAGCCCGAUUUGGGGAGCUGGAGUCGCCGCUCCGGGGAAAAGCCUUUUCUACCCUCCACUGUCCAGUGGGUAAGAAGCCAGCUGCUCUGGUGUCGCCGUGGAAUCCAGGGCAACCCGUGUUGGGGUGCCCUAGAAGUGCAGCUUGUGGCUGGGCCUCCCCACCCCCGUGAGACACAGCGGGCAGGGACUGUCCCGCCAUUUCACAGGAAAAACAAAUCCAUGUAUUUUUUUGGUGAUGCUGGGAUGUGAGAACGCAUUUCUGCUCCAGCAAAGGGUUUUUUAAAAAUGAAGCCGUAACGUGCCAGCUCCCAAAAGUAAGGGCUGGAUGUCAUUUAUCCUGUCUCCCCCCCCCAUCCCCCGCUCCCUGCACCACCACCACCACCACCCCCCCCCGCCCCUGCUUCUGGUUUAGAGCUGGGAGCCUAAGGGAUAUAUUUGUUGUGCUGACCGGACAUUUGACUCCUGUGUAAGAUGGGCUACUAUUGAAUAAAUAAAUCAAUAAACAAA